AUAUGCAUAAUGUAAUUUUAUAUAUAUUAAGGCUUAGAAAGCCACUUCUUAAUUGUAGAGACUGUGUGAUCUAUCAGGUUUUCAGGUGUGUUUUUGUUUGCCCUGCCCGGUGAAGCGGUAAUUGUGAGCUUGGCAGGCUGAGCGCUGUGAGCAGUUACCGCGCUCGGCUCCGGCGGUUUGCUGAUGCAGCCGUCUCUUUGUUUCACACGGACUUCAGCAAAUUCGGUGCCGUAGCAAAGUGCUGAUUUGGGGAAAUAACCCAUCGUGGCUUUUCCCAGCCCGUCCGGCCCAUCGGUGCCAACUCAGAACCGAGGGCGAGUGAUUCAGUCCACACACGUUCAACCUGAACGACCUCCGGUGCUGCUGGAACAGGCCGUAUCCCGCCAGCUGACUUCGUCACUGAUUUCCGCGCUGAGGUUUUUCCUCGGCCCUGCUGAAGAUGCUCAUGGGAGACAACACUUCACCGUCUCUUCUCAGAAUUCCGCUAUAAAUAGGUUUUUUUCCAAGUGUACUGGGAGAAGGAAACUGGGCAAGAAUCAAACAACCCUAACGCUUGUGACUGGGACCUGGGAUGCUGGUGAUGCUCUUGUCCCCCAUGGGCACCACGCAGCUCUGGGUGAGGGGUGGAAUGAGUAGAUCGUGGUUGCGGUAGAUACCCGGCUGCACCGUCUGCACCAUCCGCUUGAUGUAAAUCAUUGAAGUUUGGGGAAAAAUGCAAACUUUGCGUUUAUCUACAUGGUGUGAAAUCCUUGGAGCUGCAUUCGGCCCCAAGAAAUAACCCCCCCAGCCUGCUCUUGCGACAUUAUCCAACACUUUAAGGCUGGUUAGGUCGCUCAGCUCUGUUGACAGGAAACACUUGUAGCCGGUUCUCCUCUUGCCGCUGGAGCCCCCUCAAUGACCCUGCGAUGGUUUCUGCGGCAGUUUGUCCCACUGCGCUGUCCCUUCUCUGCGUGGCCAAGUGCCGCUCCAGCCUUGAGCUGGUUUGACUGAAAGAGAGUUAAUUUUCUUCAUGCAGUUAGAAAUCUUUAUUUUCCGUAGCUGGCACGGCUGCUGUUUGGAUUUAGUUUGAGGACAGGAAAAUAACACCCGGGGACAGAGUUUGUGUUUUUCUUCAAGUAACUUGCUGGUGUCUUUGAGUUGGAACAAAGAGCAUGGAAGAGCUCACUGGUAUCUUGGCUUUUUGGGAGCCGAGGUCUCUCUGAGCUCUGCCCGCAGGUGCGAGGCAGCGGGGAAGGGGACGUGGAUGGGACAGACAUUGCCUGACAUCCAGACUGAUCAAUAAGAAUAUUCCAUCCCAUCAUCCUGCUGCGUAUUGAAGGAGAGUCGGGCUUUUCCAGGUAGGGAGACAGAGACUGAGACCCGUUCUGGUUCUGCUGUUUCGGUUGAGAUCUGUUCAGGAGUUUAUUUCUUUCGGUCUUUUUCCAUCCUGCUGUUUGCAGAGGCCUCUGGGCUUUUUUUUGCUCCUCUUCUCCCGCUCUUCCCGGGAUCCACUGUUGGGACCAGGUGCUGCUUCCUGGGACCGGCUGCUUGGUGUGGAUGGAGUUUGUGAGGAAUUGCAUUGACCAUCUUCUACUUUAUUUUCCAUUUUAUAUAUAGUGGUAGCGGUAUAUUAGUAUUAUUUUAUUAAACUGUGUCUAUCUCAGCCCACAAGUUUCUCCCUUCCCCUUUGAUUCUCCCCCCUAUUUGGGGAUGUGGGGGGGGGACCGAGGGAGUGGCUGUCGUGGUUUUGAUCGCUUGCUGGGGUUAAACUGCGACGAGUGUGCUUAAGGUAUUUUUGUCACUUGCCAUCCAGGCACUGCCGCUGGGUCUGCUGCGGUUGUAUUGCCCAACCUGUCAGUGCUGCCCGGUCCCACACAAGCUCCAUCCCAACAGGUGGUUGUUCAGCCACCUCUCCCCUCUGUCGGGAUCGUCAUCCUGCAGUGACACAGGGCCACCGGUUUCAGAACCCCUUCCACAGGGACCAGGACAUCGCACAACCGCGUGUGCCCAGCGCCAGGGCCACCGCUCGCCCUUCGGGGACAUCGCUGCUGGAAGCCCAUGUCUGCUCUACCGGCGACAGAUACAGGUGUUCCUGGCCGCAGAGCUGCCCCGUGCUGCAGUGUCACUGCCCAGAGAUCCCCAUUUGAGAAGAUCAAGGUCCCAGGAUAAGAGCACCUCAGCAGCCUCGGGGAACCUCUCGGAAUUAGUUUGUGAUUUUAAGAAACCCCUGUGAAACAUUAAUUAAAGUGAAGCCUCACCAAUAAAAGAGAAACUGAAGGGGAGUUGCUCCUUCAAGCCUCUCA